GCUCAGAUGUCCGAGUGGUCUAAGGAGCCGGAUUCAAGCGCAUCAAGCUUCCCUGCUUUCGCACGGGCUUCCCGGUCUAGCAAUAGGCGAGGGUUCGAAUCCCUCUCUGAGCA
rfam:Rhodosporidium toruloides NP11 unplaced genomic scaffold Scaffold4, whole genome shotgun sequence.